ensembl:lncRNA
UGGGAAUCAACUAGAGAAAUGUUUCCUGUUAGUUUGUGAAAAAAUCCUGUAAUCAAUUACAUAACUGGAAUUGUCAAUUCAUUUUUUCAAUUUAGGUGAGGUGUACACAUCUGUUUGAGGAGGAAACCCCAUACAAUAUUUGCCACAGAUGUUAAGUGCUUUUCACAGCUUUAAAAUAUAGCAGCUGCAAGAAAGCCAAUACAGUUAGUGUUUCACAUGAAACAUUUGAAGGCCCAAUGACCAUUUUCUGAAUUCAAUACAAAAAGAUUACAAGGCUCAAUAAAGGAGGCACUGAUGUUCGACUGACAUGACUCAGUUGAAGUAGCCACAAAAUUGAGUGAAGUACAUUUUUUUAUAUUUUACAUAAAACAUUUACCAAGCCAAUUUAAAAACUUUAUUGUACUUUCCAAGUUGUCAUGUCCGUAAUAAUCAUUUGCAGUCAAUUGGAUAAAUAGAAUGAAAUAAUUUGCUUCAGUGAAACAAUGACCCACUCAAGCUGCUCCAUGUUAGUGUUAAAGGUUAAGAAAAUAAACCCAUGAGAUUUAAGUUUUAACAUCCCAAAGGCUGCAAAGACCUUGGCCCAAAGGAGCCCUUUCAUCUUGUAAAUAAGUUGAUUCAACUACAAAUUUGUGCAUAUUGCAUUUUAUUUCUCUAACCAGCUACCAGUUGAAGUCAAUGAGGCCCAUCAGCUAUGGUAAGUAGCAGUUAACAUGAUGACCAGGAAAACCCAAGCAGUUAUCCCUUCACACAGACUCCUUAGUUGGAGCAAGAUCGUCCUUUAUUUCGAAUAUUUUGAUUGCUCCCACUUGUAGCGAACUGGGGCUGAGGCUUAGAUGGGUAGUCUGUGGACUGGUGCGGAGGCUGAGACUUGUACUGGUAGCCCUCGGGCUGCAGAACCUGGUGCGGAGGCUUAGAAGGGUGGGCCGGGCCCGGGAGCUGAUGGUGAGGCUUAGAAGGGUGGGCCGGGCCCGGGAGCUGAUGGUGAGGCUUAGAAGGGUGGGCCGCGACGGGGGGCAGAGGCUUCGACGGGUAACCCUGGACCUGGGGUUGGGGCAGAGGCUUCGACGGGUAACCCUGGACCUGGGGUUGGGGCAGAGGCUUCGACGGGUAACCCUGGACCUGGGGUUGGGGCAGAGGCUUCGACGGGUAACCCUGGACCUGGGGUUGGGGCAGAGGCUUCGACGGGUAACCCUGGACCUGGGGUUGGGGCAGAGGCUUUGACGGGUAACCCUGGACCUGGGGUUGGGGCAGAGGCUUCGACGGGUAACCCUGGACCUGGGGUUGGGGCUGAGGCUUCGACGGGUAACCCGGAACCUGCGGUUGCAAAACCUGGGGCUGAGGACCAGCAGGGUAGCCCAGAAACUGUUUAAUUGCAGUGGGGGGAUAUUCCAGGAACUUGGGCAGCGGGACCUGAGGGAGUAGACCAAGUGGAGAGCCCUGGAACUGGUGUUGCCGGACCUGGGGUUGCGGGACCUGAAUCUGAGGCUUGGACUGGUGCUGAAGGACUUGUUGUGGAGGGACCUGGGGCUGAGGCUUGGAUGGGUAACCUGGGACCUGGGAAUGUGAGACCUGUGAAGGUGGCCUGGCCUGGUAGCCUGAUAACUGGUGCUGCAAGACCUGGGGACGAGGCUCAUUAGGGUAUCCCAGGAACUGGUUCAUCGCCCCGGGGGGAUAUGUGGGAAAGUUGGGGGGCGGGAGGAUCCCAGGUGGAUAGUCGGGGAACUGGUGCUGUGGGAACUGGUGCUCCAGAACCUGUUGCUGGAUUUGGUUCUGAGCCCUUGACAGGUUUUCCAGGACCUGGGGCUGCUGCAGCUCCUGGGGCUGUGGCCCGGGUGGAUAACCUAGGAACUGGGGUGGAGGGAACUGGUGGUCCUGGACCAAAGUCUGAUGCUUAGACAGGGAGCCUGGGAAUUGUGUCUGCGCAACAUGGGGUUGCAGCCCGGGUGGAUAGUCCAGGAACUGGUGUGGCCUGGAUGUGUAUUCCAGGCCCUGGGGUUGUGGGACAUGGGGAUGCUGGAUCUGUGUCUCAAGCUCUGACGGGUACCCCGGAAACUGAGGCAUCGAGACCUGAGGGUGCGGUUCGGGUGGAUAGGCCAAGAAGUGGUGCUGCAGGACCUGGUGCUGAAGCUUGGACAGGUAGCCAGGGAGUUGCUGCUGCGGCACCUGGUGCUGGGCGUGAGUCUGUGGCUUGGGCAGGGAGCCCAGGAACUGGGGCUGUAGGACCUGGGUGUGGGGCCCUGGCAAAUACACCUGGAGCCGGGGCUGCCACUGUAUGAAAUCGGGGUGCAGACCGGGUGCAUAGCCAAGGAGAUUGGGCUGUGGGUAGCCCAAUACAUGCUGUAGGUAGCCGGGGCCCUGGGACUGGUAGCCGGGGCCCUGGGACUGGUAGCCGGGGCCCUGGGACUGGUAGCCGGGGCCCUGGGACUGGUAGCCGGGGCCCUGGGACUGGUAGCCGGGGCCCUGGGACUGGUAGCUCAUGUCCCAAAUGAUAGGCCCAGAGUCCUGAUAGG